CUGAAGUCCUACGGAUGGUUGCUAAGUGGCAGCUUCCUACUCUGACCCCUUUGAGGCUGAGCUUGUCCGCCUGAAGGACCUUGAGUUGGAGGUUACCUGGCAUCUGGGUAAUAUUGCUGCCUGAAUCCAGCCUGUCAAGGCUUAUUUCAGCCCCUCCCCCAACCCACACUCAGCUUGGCACCAUCUGCAAAUUUUGAAAACAAAUAUAACACAGUGAUCCUGGUUACGACUGGACCUUAUUUAAAGCUUUGGAGGAAUCUUGAGGAGCAGGAGACUCUCUCUCCCUUGCUGACUUCGAAGAAGCAAGCUGCCAUGUUGAGUGCCGUCACAGGGAGAGGACCACACAGCGAGGAGCUGAGGGCAGCCUCCAGCCAACAGCCCAGAAGAAACUGUGACCCUCAGUCCAGCAACACACACAAGACUGAAUGCUGCCAACAACUAUGGGAGCUUGGAAAGAAAUCCUUCUCCUUUGAACAUUUAGAUGAGAACUCCCCUCUCCUUCCAUCCUCAGAGAGCCCUCCUUUAAUUAUCUAUUGUAUGAAUCUCAAACACCUCGACUUCCAAGGCAAUCCCUUCCCUAACCCAUAGGAUUUGGUUUAAUCUGGUGAUCCGUUGCCAUUUCCCACCUAAGUAACCCCAGAUGAAAUACGCUAAUUCACAAUAAUUUCCUCAAGACUGACUUUCUCAGUUUAAAUAACACCACGGGAAAGUGCAGGGCCUUAGUGGAACGGUCUGGACUGGAUGGACUUUGGCAUUCGUUUGACACCCUCCACUAGGAUGAGCUAAAAAUAGCUCUUGAACAAAACAUGUCUCCCAAGGAUGAGCAAAGUUUCUUGUGGACAAUGUACUUCAGACACAUUUUAAAGAAGAAAAACAUCUUCCUAAAGGCAAUACAAUCCACAAGGAUUUUCCCUAUCCUCGACGGUGACAGACUUUUACUUUAUUAAUCAGAACAGCUUUGCUCCCUACAUGCAAGCUCUAGUGGCAUGCUUUGCAUAGCUGGACAUUGCCAUAAAUAAAAUAGCCUCCAAUGCCAAACGUUAACCCCAGCAGCACGAAGAGUCAGCAGAAGCUAUGAAAUUAAAAUGUUCUUUAACAUGAUCAAACUUUUCAGCCAAGAUUUCUUCCCUGACAAGUCUUUAUAAGUGGAAGGGUUGAAUGACACAGCUUGAUCAUCCCCCGCCCAGAGCAGGUCACCAGAGAAUGUGGGCUAGUUCGUUUUCCAGUUAUACUUUUCACUAAACCGUACCAU
rnacentral:lncRNA from 1 species